rnacentral:rRNA from 1 species
UACGUAGGUGGCAAACGUUAUUCGGAAUUACUGGGCUUAAAGAGUUCGUAGGCGGCGCAACAAGUGGGGUGUGAAAGCCCUCGGCUCAACCGAGGAAUUGCGCUCCAAACUGUUGUGCUUGAGGGACCUAGAGGUGAGCGGAACUGAUGGUGGAGCGGUGAAAUGCGUUGAUAUCAUCAGGAACACCGGAGGCGAAGGCGGCUCACUGGGGGUCUUCUGACGCUGAGGAACGAAAGCCAGGGGAGCGAACGGG